rnacentral:misc_RNA from 1 species
UUUUUGUUUAGUCACAAGCAAAAAACCAAUCCAACGCCACAUUCAAGAAUAAUAAAUAUCUAACUUACAACACGGACAAAGUAGCAUUCUCAGUCUAGGUUUAGCUGUGUAGGAUAUGAUUCAUAUCCCCAGCUGCAUUCCUACACAACUAAGUGGCCACAAGAACUACAUUUUGAACAGCUUGACAUUGAAGAUGGAGUUCAAGCGUUCAGCAUCCUCCAUUGCUAAAACCAAAAAAAAAAAUAUACAUCUUGACAGAGUCCAAUGAUUAUUCUACUAUUUUAAGAAAUUUCAGAUCAUCCAGCAUGCAUAUAUUGUUGACACCAGUAACAGACUUCAAAGCCAAUCACAGUUCUCCAUGGCCACAACCCUUCACUUAGUAUGGCCUAUACCUCCAAUCUGCUCUUGAAGGUCUAGCACCACCCAUUCCAUAACCCCAAUCAUCAAAAUCAAGGCUUCCAUACAUCCUACCAAAGUUGCGUAAAGGACCGCCAUAACCCCCAAAAGAUGGACCAGUAUCCAUCAUGAAAUUUCCACUUGGGCCAGCAU